rnacentral:rRNA from 1 species
AUUACGGUUCGCGCCAACGGCCGCCUGCUGACUCCCGUAGGAACGUUAUUCGGAAUCACUGGGCUUAAAGGGCGCGUAGGCGGCCGAGCGGGUCACGGGUGAAAUCCUCCAGCUUAACUGGAGAACUGCCCUUGAUACCACUGCGGCUCGAGGAAGGAAGGGGCAAUCGGAACUGUCGGUGGAGCGGUGAAAUGCGUUGAUAUCGACAGGAACGCCGGUGGCGAAAGCGGAUUGCUGGUCCUUUUCUGACGCUGAGGCGCGAAAGCCAGGGGAGCAAACGGGAUUAGAUACCCCGGUAGUCCUGGCCUUAAACGAUGAGAACUAGGUAGUGGGUCCGACCUGGGCACACUGCCGAAGCGAAAGUCUUAAGUUCUCCGCCUGGGGAGUAUGGUCGCAAGGCUGAAACUCAAAGGCAUUGACGGGGGCUCACACAAGCGGUGGAGCAUGUGGCUUAAUUCGAGGCUACGCGAAGAACCUUACCCAGGGCUUGACAUGUGCGAAAGCGCCAAGUGUACCUGGCUGAAAGGUCA